GGUAAGGGCAUGGAGAGUCCACUUGUAUUGUCCUUUUGUAAGGUUCCAUGUGCUGGGUAUUCAAGAGGAUAUUUUGCUCUGUAAAUGUAAGGUGGUUCCAUACAGAUCUGUUGAUGGUUUCAGUACCUUCUGCCAAAAAUCUUUCAAUACAGGACAAUGAAAUAACAUAUUUUAGAGAAGCAUUAUCCCUGUUGCAUAUCCAAUAGUUAGACACCUUAGUUAGUUAGUUAGUUAGUUAGUUAGUUAAAAAAGGUAAAGGGACCAUUAGGUCCAGUCGUGGCCGACUCUGGGGUUGUGGCGCUCAUCUCCCUUUAUUGGCCAAGGGAGCCAGCGUACAGCUUCCGGGUCAUGUGCCAGCAUGACUAAGCCACUUCUGGCGAACCAGAGCAGCGCACGGAAACGCCAUUUACCUUCCCGCUGGAGCGGUACCUAUUUAUCUACUUGCACUUUGAUGUGCUUUCGAACUGCUAGGUUGGCAAGAGCAGGGAUCGAGCAACGGGAGCUCACCGCGUCGCGGGGAUUCAAACCGCUGACCUUCUGAUCGGCAAGUCUAGGCUCUGUGGUUUAACCCACAGCGCCCACCCUUUUUUAAACAAACAUAAUGGGGUCUGUUUUCAUUUAUCUAUGCUCACUCUGUGUGUGUCAUUGUCUAUCUGCCCUCCUCUUCCCUCCUGUUUCAACAACAUCAAAUUUCCCACAUAUUAGAUCUGCCAACCACACCAGGCAAAGAUCAGUUCCCAUUCUCACCCCCUCAUUCCAAGGCCAGUUGGAUCAUAUGCCAAGUGUCUAUUGAAGACAAUACCUGCUGCAUCUUUGAAUGUCUUAAUUCAUUUGCUACUCCAAAAAGGGGAAAAACAUGAUGUCCAUUAACAGAUUCCUUUUCUAAUACUCCUUUUGUGAUUCCUCAGGCCCACCAAGAACCUGAAACUGCCCUUGCAAUGUCUCUCCUGGACAUAUAUCUAUGUAUAGUUUAGUUGACAGUAUCCUUAGAUCCCUUACAGUUCACUAUAGUUUAAACCAGAACACUGGGGGUUUUUUACAACACGGGUGGUGAUUAUUCGCCACCCCCAAAAGCCAAAUUUACUCAGGGAAGGGAGAACAGUUGCAAGUUGCAUGUUAUUUGCAAGUGGGACCAAAGCACACACAUUAUUAUUGCACAUCACACACAAAAAAAAUUCUAUAGGGUUUAUAUGCAUACUAAAUACACCCCACUUUCUUUGUAUCACAUGCACACACUAAUCCUUUUCCAGCUUUUACUUCUCCGUCUGCUGAUAAGGGAAGCCUCUUUCUCAGUGCAAAGAAGGGAAAUGCAGCAAUCUGGUUGUGCAGGAAGUGCCCGGGGUCUCCAGUUUUCAGGCAGCAGUGAGGAAAUGCAGUGAAUUAGCAAUGCAGGAAUAGAUUUCCUUCUGUCAUCACUUUAUGCUGGACCAGAUUUUUCAGAAUCCAGCCCUGCUUCAUUAAGCUUUGAAAAGUAUCUGCUCUCUCCGAAGGAUGGAUCUGCAUAAUUUGCAUUAUUAGGACUGAAUUCCUUAACGUCAUCUUCUGUGUUGUACAUGCAUGCACACACUGGUCCAAACCUUCUGGUGAGUUUUUGGCUUUUUUUUUUAAAGAAAAAGGGCUACACCUAUGCAGCUCCUGGAGAAAUGUAUGUGGCACCUAUUUGCCUGUGGCUAUGUUUGAUCAUAUGGAUGCCUGCUUCCCACAUACAUAUAGCCUCCAGCUGAAUUAGGCUGACAAAAAUAAACUGAAUUAGGCUAUAUAUGAGUGGAGUCAUUGUUCAGUGCCUGAAUAUAUAUUUUAAUCUUUGUUGGAAACCGCCCAGAGUGGCUGGGGAAACCCAGCCAGAUGGGUGGGGUACAAAUAAAUUGUUGUUGUUGUUGUUGUUUUUCUCUCUCUCUUCUUUGGCCAUCACUGGUGGCCAAGUAAGAUUGUCUUCCAUAAACACAGUUUUAACAGUGUGUCCGUAAAUGACUGUGGAGGCCAAUUCUGGAUCCACACACCCUUCCACAGUGGGGACAUAGGUUUCUGGGUGGGAGUUGGUCAUGGUAAGGGUUUGCCAAGCGUGCCUUCCUCUUAGCACGUUUCUCCCUUUCGUCCUGAGUUUGAGCGUCUUCAGAGUCCAUGACACCUUUGGUUCUCCAACUGGAGCGCUUACAGGCCAGUGUUUCCCACUUGUCGGUGUUUAUACUACAUUUUUAAAGAUUUGCCACAAAAGAGUCUUUGAACCUCUUUUGUUGACCACCAGCAUUGCGCUUUCCAUUUUUAAGUUCGGAAUAGAGUACAGUGGUACCUCAGGUUACAUACACUUAAGGUUAUAUAUGCUUCAGGUUACAGACUCCUCUAACCCAGAAAUAGUGCUUCAGGUUAAGAACUUUGUUUCAGGAUGAGAACAGAAAUCUUGCUCUGGCGGCGCGGCGGCAGCAGGAGGCCCCAUUAGCUAAAGUGGUGCUUCAGGUUAAGAACAAUUUCAGGUUAAGUACGGACCUCCGGAACGAAUUAAGUACCUAACCUGAGGUACCACUGUAGUUGCUUUGGAAUACGAUAAUCAGGCAUCCGAACAACAUGACAAGUCCAACAAAGUUGAUGUUGAAGAAUCAUUGCUUUGACACUGGUGAUCUUUGCUUCUUCCAGUUCACAGGCAUUAGUUUGCCUGUCUUCCCAAGUGAUGUGUAAAAAUUUUCAGAGACAUCAUUGAUGGAAUUUUUUGAGGAGUUGGAGAUGUCGUUUAUAAGUGGUCCAUGUUUCACAAGCAUACAGUAAGGUUGGUAGUACAAUAGCUUUGAGAACAAACUUUGAAACCGUGUGUGUGUGUGUGUGUGUGCGUGUGAUUUGGUGGUUGAACACAUGCUUUGUGUAUAUAGUAAAAUAGUGUGGCCCCCACACUUCUUCCCCCCCAUUCAUGUAGUCAUUUAGAGUAAGGACCUCACUUAUAAAAGGAAUGUGUUCUGUACUUCAAUUUAUGUCUCUCUCUGGACUUUGAAUGCACCUGAAAGGCUUCUCCAAAACUUGUCGUUCCUUUGCCGAUUAUCAGUAUAUGUGCACCUGAUGAUUUCAAGAUCCAAACAACCUGAAGCUCAAGGCACAGACAACUAGAUAAGAACACCGCAGGCCGAGAAAUCAGCUGUGGUUGUCAUUACGUAUCCUCACUGCCUGUAAAUAAUGAGAUACCUAGCGCUAGCAAUGCAGGAGAUGAGUCAGAGGAAACCACAGCAGGAUUUGGCGGAAGUGCCUCGGUGCCGUCAACACACAAUGACAUCCUGCUCCAAACUUCAUAAUUUCACUUAGCACUUUCCUAUGCACAAUAGAAGGUAAGCCUCUACCUUCCCUUUGACAGUAUAAUGCAACGUAUCUCUUGCCUCCAGCCUUAGCACUGUGGCACCACAGCACUAAGAUUGGAGACAAGCCUGUAUCAAAGAGCGGGGAGAUUGUUGUUUAGUCAUUUAGUUGUGUCCGACUCUUCGUGCCCCAUGGACCAGAGCACGCCAGGCACUUCUGUCUUCCACUGCUUCCCACAGUUUCGUCAAACUCAUGCUGGUAGCUUCGAGAACACUGUCCAACCAUCUCGUCCUCCGUCGUCCCCUUCUCCUUGUGCCCUCCAUCUUUCCCAACAUCAGGGUCUUUUCCAGGGAGUCUUCUCUUCUCAUGAGGUGGCCAAAGUAUUGGAGUCUCAGCUUCAGGAUCUGUUCUUCCAGUGAGCACUCAGGGCUGAUUUCCUUAAGAAUGGAGAGGUUUGAUCUUCUUGCAGUCCAUGGGACUCUCAAGAGUCUCCUCCAGCACCAUAAUUCAAAAGCAUCAAUUCUUCGGCGAUCAUCCUUCUUUAUGGUCCAGCUUACACUUCCCUACAUCACUACUGGGAAAACCAUAGCUUUAACUAUACAGACCUUUGUUGGCAAGGUGAUGUCUCUACUUUUUAAGAUGCUAUCUAGGUUUGAGCGGGGAGAUACCAGCCUCCAAUGUUAGUGUUGUGGUGCUUAAGCACUAAGGUAGAAAAGAGACCCCAAAUCUCCAAUCAUCAAACUAAGUGCUUAGAUGAGAGAAAACAGAUUUUUUUGUGCCUCAUGUCAGGUGGGUGUGCUUUGCUCAAAUUGGGCUCGUGGGCCAGAUUCAUAGACCUGAUGGGCUGAAGUUGUUUGGAGAUUUCCCACUGCUGCUUUAAGGGCAAAGAACCACAGCAAGAGGGCAACUGAAUCAAAAGGGGUUUUUUUAAGCAUUUAAAAAAAAAUAACUUUCCCCUCUUGUCAUGAUCCUAAUCCAGAGAAUGUCUCUGUGACUUGAGCCAAUAAGCAAUUAAAAGCAUGUCUUAGUUGUCCCUCGAUUUUUGAAUCCACAUUAAUCUUGGAAUGCAACUAGUUUAAGACUAGAAUACCGAAGAUUUGUUUUUUUAGGGGGGGAUGUGAAGAUGGGGCGGGGAGCAAAUGAUAGUGUGGGAAACGUUUUAAAUUGCUAAUGAAAUACAAAGUAAGGAUUUGUGGAGGAAGUUAGGCCUAAAAUAAUUGGGGAUUAUUGGACAGAGAACAAUAUAUGCAUAUAAUUUUACGCAUAAAAUAAAGUGAUCGAUAACGUAAUUGGCUUAAAUGUUACAGAGGAAAUAAAUGUUUGAUUUUAAGGGUCCUGGUGAAAGUCACAGUUUGGGAAAGCAGAUCAGGCACUACUUGGAAAGAGAUUAACAUAGCUUUAAGUAUUUGUGAGGGAUUAUGUCUAAGUCCUAUGUGGUUUCAUUUAACCUUGCAAAAUCUGUUAAAAAUAAUUCACCUAACCGUGAAUGUCUUACCCCUUCUGUGUCCUAAAAUUUCCCUUGCAGUCUGCAUGAUGCCCUUUCAAUGUUCAGAUGUAACCAUCACAUCCAAUAACGGAAAACUUUUAAUUUCCACAU